AAAGAAAUGUAAAGACAUGAAGCAGGCUAACCGAGCUGAAGGCAGCAGGAGCCAUUAGCUUACCUCUGGUAGAACCCAGGACUCACAUUCCUCAUUCACUGAACCGUGUAGAUGGAGCAAAGCUGUGUGGCUGCCAGGCACCUGGGCACAAUCUCACAACAGUGAUGACAGAUGGACUUUGGGGUGGUCCACACUUUAACUAGAACGGUGGAGGAGAGACAAACAUACAAUUGGCAGACUGUGGUACCAGCCAUAGCGUGUUGGGGAACAGGGUUUGGUAAAGGUGGGACCGCUGGAGUCUGGGCAUCUGCAGGGCUUUCCCUGAGGAUUCGAAAUCAAAGCUGCAUCUAAGGGAAAAAACAAAACAACAUGAAGUUGAGAGGGAGCGACCCUUAGAAGGUGUGGUUCAGUGGCUUCUGAAUGGCAGGAGCUCAGUGUGUCUACUGGGAGAAUGUAUGACUCACACAGCAGGUCUACACUGAGCAGCUGCUGUCACUUAAAUUUUAGUCCCAUUGAGUUCAUUCUGGGUUCAUUUAUCACAGGGUAGCAGUUAUUGAUCUCCUCUAUGUCAGGCAUCACGCUAGUUGCUGAAAUGAAAAGAUAAAUCAGGAAACCCCCAAGGAAGUGAAUUCUAGGAGGAGAGGAAGACCAGAAACCUCCAUAAUUAAAGAUGCUGUGUUGAAAUGGGAAAAGUGCAAGAUGUUGGUUCCUGGCAGCCAGAGUGAGAGAGGAGGGUGGUUGAGGCAGGAAGACUGCUUCCCUGAGAAGACAGCAUGGAUCCCUGAGAGUGGCGCUGCUCUCAGAGCUCUGCACAGCAGUCUCCAUCUUGUGCAGAUGAUGUGACAAAGGCUAUAGUGAUUGGAACCAAGUAGCCAUCUUUGUGAGGUAAUAACCAGUCACAGGCGUGCGCCGUGCACAUGGGUGGGGGACUAGAGAAUGAUCUGCUCACAGGCUUGGGAUCUGGUAGUUUUAUGUGUAAUAAUUAAAGUCCAAAUACAGGCAUUUUUUAUCACCAUUGUUAAUAUGAUCAAAUCACCAGGGUAUAUCAUCCUUUAAUUCCGAUGCAAGGCUUUUUCUGUUUUCUUUGCUAUUCCUACAUGAAUGUUGCACCUAGCAUGUGGUGGGUCUCACAUGGAGUGCUGACGUGGUAACCCAUGACAGCAGGCAUGCAUGCUGAUGGUGUUUCUAUGUAUUAUAGGCACUAAGAAUGAUUAGUAAUGUGUAGCAUUGGGCAGUCAGGGAUCUUACCCACCUGGGACUGACGGCUGAUCUUUACCUUCUAGAUCGUUCUUUGUCAAUCUUCUUAUUCAGCUCUGCGGAGACAGAGAUCUGUAUAGUUUUCCCUCUUGCUGAGCCCUUUCCUAUCUGUGUCAACAACAUCGUGUUUCUCAGGAGCCAAUGGGUUAUCAACUCCUGCAGUUGAUUUUACUCGUUCUGGAACUCCAUAACAUCCGGGAUAAAUUGGAAACAAUUGUUUUCUCUGUGUACACAUUGUUGCGUUUGUUAUGUUCGCCCAAACCACAUGUUUAAGUCCAUGCUACACUGUGCUUUUAUGUGAAGCGUUUCCCACAGGCUCCUGUGUCUAAGUGCUUGAUUUCCAGAUGGUGGUCCUGUUUGGGGAGGUACUGUGGGAAGUGAGGCCUAGCUAGAAUGUGAGCAAGCAGCCUCUUGCUCCUGCUGCCACAACUGUAAGCUACUCCAGCCACCAUGCCUUACCCCAUGUGGACUGGACACAUUCAACCAUGAUCUGAAAAUAAAUCCUUCCAUCCUUCAGUUGCUUGCUACCUGUCGGGCAUUCCGUUGGCCACAGUGUUAAAGCAGAGUAGCCAAUAAAUGCUAUGCACGAUGCUAGAAUUGCUUCCAACUUAUUUUCUGCAUAUUGAAUUGUUUAUGCAUGUUUGGUUUGUUUAUUCAUAUGCAGUUUUAAUGCAUAUUUAAUUGUCAUUCAUAUUCAAUUGUUUAUGCAUAUUCAGCUUUUGCUGAUUUAAUUGUCUAUGCACACUCAGUUGUUCAUGCAUGUUUAAUUGUUUGUGCAUAUUUAAUUGUGUAUAUUCAAUUGUUUAUGCACACUUAAUUGUUUAUGCAUAUUGCCUUGGAUAUUUAGUUAACAGGAAACUGACAAAUAUGGGUACUUAUGAGUUACCUUUUUUUUCCUAA